CUUUGACCUGAACUCAGUCGAGAGCACCCGCUGAACUUAAGCAUAUCAGUAAGCGGAGGAAAAGAAACUAAACAGGAUUCCCCAGUAACGGCGAGUGAAAAGGGAAAUGUCCAUCGCUAAAUCAUUUUGCCUCAGGCAUUAUGAGGUGUAGCGUAUAAGCCGUAAUCUUUGAUCAAGUGUCUCAAACAAGUCCCCUUGACAGGGGUUCCACAGAAGGUGCAAGUCCUGUACAUUGAGAUAAUUGAUCGAUAUUUGCGUGCUUUAGAGUCGGGUUGUUUGGGAUCGCAGCCCAAAGUCGGUGGUAAACUUCAUCUAAGACUCAAUAUUGCUACGAGACCGAUAGCAAACAAGUACUGUGAAGGAAAGUUGCAAAGCACUUUGAAGAGAGAGUUAAAGAGGACGUGAAACCGGUGAGGUGGAAACGGAUAGAGUCGGCGUAUCUUUCAAGUAUUCAUUUACAUUAUUUUUGUGUUGUGAUCUCUGAGCUCCAGAUUGGGACAGAAAGAAGCAGCAUAAUUUUCUGUGAUGCAUUUACCUGUUUGGUGCUUGGGGGUGUUUGAGGCAGAUUUGUGUCCGCCGUUUUGAGGCCAGCUUGCUGGUACCCAAACGGUGUUAGCAUUUUUUGUCUUGGACAUUUGAGUAUGGCUUACGGGCAUUUAUUAGUUCGAUCUGAGUGUAAGUUACGGUCGCAUGCGACACGUGCUUUUCAAUUAGUUCGGUCCAGUUAAUGCUCUCGUACUCGUUCCCCAUGUAAAAGCCGGUCAUCUAUCCGACCCGUCUUGAAACACGGACCAAGGAGUUUAUCGUGUGCGCAAGUUUUGGGUGUUAAAAACCUAAAGGCGAAAUGAAAGUAAAUGACUCUUUAGAGUCUGAUGUGCGAUCUUGUAAAAAAGUGCAGCAUGGCCCCAUUCUAACUGUUUACAGUAGGGUGGCGGAAGAGCGUACGCGGUGAGACCCGAAAGAUGGUGAACUAUUCCUGAGCAGGACGAAGCCAGAGGAAACUCUGGUGGAAGUCCGAAGCGGUUCUGACGUGCAAAUCGAUCGUCUGACUUGGGUAUAGGGGCGAAAGACUAAUCGAACCAUCUAGUAGCUGGUUCCCUCUGAAGUUUCCCCCAGGAUAGCUGGAGCUCACGAGUAGUUAUACUCGGUAAAGCGAAUGAUUAGAGGACUUGGGAACGAAAUGUUCUUAACCUAUUCUCAAACUCUAAAUGGGUAUGAUGUCAAAGUUGCUUGAUUUUGAACUUUGGCGUUGAAUACGAGCUCCAAGUGGGCCAUUUUUGGUAAGCAGAACUGGCGAUGUGGGAUGAACCAAACGCGGAGUUGCGGUGCCAAAGUGCCCGCUCAUUAGACCCCAUAAAAGGUGUUGGUUGAUACAGACAGCAGGACGGUGGCCAUGGAAGUCGGAAUCCGCUAAGGAGUGUGUAACAACUCACCUGCCGAAUCAACUAGCCCUGAAAAUGGAUGGCGCUGGAGCGGGCCACCUAUACUCUGCCGUCAUAUGCUUGUAUUUUCUGUGAAAAGUCUUGCAAUGACGUGUAAGAGGGUCGUAGUGGUUGCGUUGAAGGCUUUGGGUGUGCACCCAGCUGGAGCUUCCACUAGUGCAGAUCUUGGUGGUAGUAGCAAAUAUUCAAGUGAGAUCCUUGAAGACUGAAGUGGAGAAGGGUUCCACGUGAACAGCAGUUGAAUGUGGGUCAGUCGAUCCUAAGGCACCGGCUAAAGCCGUCUAGACACUGCGGGGAGAUGAGAUACUUAACGGUAUUUUGUCCACCCGGUUGCCGAAAGGGAAGUGGGUUAAUAUUCCCACACCAGGCAUGGGAGAUGGUGAUCCGCAAGGAUUACUUUGCGCGGUGACGCAAACGAACUCGUAGACCUCGUGUGGAGUCCGGGCCAGAGUUCUCUUUUCUGGUUUAGAGAUCAUGUCCCUGGAAGUGGCUCAGCCUGAGAUAGGGAUGCUGGUCUCGUAAAGCGCAGCGGUUCCUGUUGUGUCCCGUGUGCUCCACAUGAGCCGUGAAAAUGCGAGGGAGGCAAUUUAAAAUCUCCUGCUGAUCGUACCCAUAUCCGCAGCAGGUCUCCAAGGUGAACAGCCUCUAGUCGAUAGAAUAAUGUAGGUAAGGGAAGUCGGCAAAUUAGAUUCGUAACUUCGGGAAAAGAAUUGGCUCUAAAGGUUGGGUCAGUCGGGCUGUUGUGUGAAACAGGUGGACUUUGCUCGUGACUGCUUGCGCUUCCUUUCGGGGCGGCGCUUGUGGACUAGUAGUGAGGACUGCUUGUGGAGCGCUUCAGCUGCGUGCUAUUUCGCAAGAUAUAGUACUUCGAUUGGCGCUGAACAACCAGUUUAGAACUGGCACGAACUCCGGGAAUCCGACUGUCUAAUUAAAACAGAGGAGACGGAUGGUCCUUGCAGGACGUUGACCGUGUCUGAUUUCUGCCCAGUGCUCUGAAUGUUAAGCCAAGGAAACUUGAUUAAGCGCGGGUAAACGGCGGGAGUAACUAUGACUCUCUUAAGGUAGCCAAAUGCCUCGUCGGCUAACUACCGACGCGCACGAAUGGAUCAACGAGAUUCCCACUGUCCCUAUCUACUAUCUAGCGAAACCACAGCCAAGGGAACGGGCUUGGCAAAUUUAGCGGGGAAAGAAGACCCUGUUGAGCUUGACUCUAGUCUGACUUUGUGAAGAAUCAUGAGAGGUGUAGCAUAAGUGGGAGUCGCAAGACAACAGUGAAAUACCACUACUUUCAUCGAUUCCUUACUUAAUCGGUAAAACGGGAGUUGUGUCUACGGACCUUCAUUUUUGUUUUAAGACUAGCCACUCGGUGGUUGGUUGACUCGCGCCGAUGACAUUGUCAGGCGGGGAGUUUGACUGGGGCGGUACAUCUGUCAAAUUGUAACGCAGGUGUCCUAAGGCGAGCUCAGAGAGGACGGAAACCUCUCGUUGAGCAAAAAGGCAAAUGCUUACUUGAUCUUGAUUUUCAGUACGAAUACAGACCGCGAAAGCGUGGCUUAUCGAUCCUUUUGAGUUUGUAAAGUUUACAGCAAGAGGUGUCAGAAAAGUUACCACAGGGAUAACUGGCUUGUGGCGGCCAAGCGUCCAUAGCGACGUCGCUUUUUGAUCCUUCGAUGUCGGCUCUUCCUAUCAUUGCGAAGCAGAAUUCGCCAAGCGUUGGAUUGUUCACCCACCAAUAGGGAACGUGAGCUGGGUUUAGACCGUCGUGAGACAGGUUAGUUUUACCCUACUAAAUACUUGUUGCUAUGAUGGUAAUCCUGCUUAGUACGAGAGGAACCGCAGGUUCAGACAUUUGGUUCAUGUGCUUGGUCGAUAGGCCAAUGGCGCGAAGCUACCAUCUGAGGGAUUAUGACUGAACGCCUCUAAGUCAGAAUCCGCCCAGUCAU
rnacentral:rRNA from 1 species